GACGAACGCUGGCGGCGUGCUUAACACAUGCAAGUCGAACGGAAAGGCCUCUUUCGGGGGGUACUCGAGUGGCGAACGGGUGAGUAACACGUGAGUAACCUGCCCUUGACUUUGGGAUAACUUCAGGAAACUGGGGCUAAUACCGGAUAGGAGCUCCUGCUGCAUGGCGGGGGUUGGAAAGUUUCGGCGGUUGGGGAUGGACUCGCGGCUUAUCAGCUUGUUGGUGGGGUAGUGGCUUACCAAGGCUUUGACGGGUAGCCGGCCUGAGAGGGUGACCGGCCACAUUGGGACUGAGAUACGGCCCAGACUCCUACGGGAGGCAGCAGUGGGGAAUAUUGCACAAUGGGUGGAAGCCGGAUGCAGCAACGCCGUGUGCGGGAUGACGGCCUUCGGGUUGUAAACCGCUUUCGCUCAUGACGAAGCUUUGUGUGACGGUAGUGGGUAAAGAAGCACCGGCUAACUACGUG
rnacentral:rRNA from 1 species